rnacentral:ribozyme from 1 species
UGCCCAGCAACUCCUAUCCCUACCUCCACGCGGUACCGGCCGGAAACUAAGAGCAACCUUGAGGAAGAUCGGGUAACCAACCCCGGUGGGAACUUUGGUCGUAGGCUGACAGGGAAGG